rnacentral:lncRNA from 1 species
AGAAAGGGGGGGGAAAAAAAAAAAAAACACUGUGGCAUGUUUCCGCCCGGUUUCGAACCGGGGACCUUUCGCGUGUUAGGCGAACGUGAUGACCACUACACUACGGAAACCCACACCUACCUCUGUCGCCAUAAUAUUGUCUGCUAGCAGCUACUCUCCGGGUACGUUCGACAAGUGAUCCCUAGCUGUAAAAGGAGAGCCCCCACAACCCUCAAGAGCAUACUCUCACGUGCAGGUCUGUGCCCAAAGUCUUCACAGCAACUGU